ensembl:rRNA 5S_rRNA 5S ribosomal RNA
GGCCACAGCCAUAUCACCCUGCUACCCAAGAGCGGUUACUCUCUGCAGCUAAGCAGAGCUGAGCUUGGUUGUUCCUGGAUGUGAGGCCACAUGGGAACACUUGGUCGCUGUUGAAA